rnacentral:misc_RNA from 1 species
GAUGAAGAACGUAGCGAAAUGCGAUACGUAAUGUGAAUUGCAGAAUUCAGUGAAUCAUCGAGUCUUUGAACGCACAUUACGCCCCCUGGUAUUCCGGGGGGCAUGCCUGUCCGAGCGUCAUUGCUGCCCUCAAGCACGGCUUGUGUGUUGGGCCUCCGUCCUCCUCCCGGGGGACGGGCCCGAAAGGCAGCGGCGGCACCGCGUCCGGUCCUCGAGCGUAUGGGGCUUCGUCACCCGCUCUUGUAGGCCCGGCCGGCGCUUGCCGACACAUCAAUCUUUUUUCCAGGUUGACCUCGGAUCAGGUAGGGAUACCCGCUGAACUUAAGCAUAUCAAUAAGCGGAGGA